rnacentral:misc_RNA from 1 species
GAUGAAGAACGUAGCGAAAUGCGAUAAGUAAUGUGAAUUACAGAAUUCAGUGAAUCAUCGAAUCUUUGAACGCACAUUGCGCCCGCCAGUAUUCUGGCGGGCAUGCCUGUUCGAGCGUCAUUUCAACCCUCAAGCCCCCGGGCUUGGUGUUGGGGAUCGGCGUGCCCUCGCGGCGCGCCGUCCCCUAAAUCUAGUGGCGGUCUCGCUGUAGCUUCCUCUGCGUAGUAGCAACACUCGCACUGGAUCGCAGCGCGGCCACGCCGUUAAACCCCCCACUUCUGAAAGUUUGACCUCGGAUCAGGUAGGAAUACCCGCUGAACUUAAGCAUAUCAAUAAGCGGAGGA